UGCGAUGAGCCGAGGAAGUUAGCGUAUGCUAACCACUCAACCAGAGGCACAAGAGAUUCUCGCCUACCGGAUUGUAGGGUGUCGGAUGACAGCUAUGUGGAAAUGGU
rnacentral:ncRNA from 1 species